AUUGAACGCUGGCGGCAGGCUUAACACAUGCAAGUCGGACGAAUGGCGGACGGGUGAGUAAUGUGUGGGACGGUGGAUGAAGGAUGGUGAUAAGUACGGGAAACGGUCGCUAAUACCGGCUGCUCUCGGAGGUGCCGAGAUGGGAUUAGCUAGUGGGUGGGGUAAAGGUUCACCUAGGCGACGAUCCCUAGCUGGUCUGAGAGGAAGACCAGGGCCACUGGAACUGAGACACGGUCCAGACUCCUACGGGAGGGAGCAGUGGGGAAGAUUGCACAAUGGGCGCAAGCCUGAUGCAGCCAUGCCGCGUGGAUGAAGCAGGCCUUCGGGUUGUAAAGUAUUUUCAGUGGGGAGGCGUUCACCGCAGAAGAAGCACCGGGUAACUCCGUGCCAGCAGCCGCGGUAAUUC
rnacentral:rRNA from 1 species